rnacentral:rRNA from 1 species
AUGAAAGAACAGCCAGUCACUUCUGUGGCAGCCUCUGAACAUGGUUUCCACAUGCUGGAUGACUUCUUGCUGGGUUAUAAAGUUGAUUGGCCAGUGAAUAUUGUCAUUACAGAGGAGGCACUUAGGAGAUAUGCUGAAAUAUUCUGUUAUCUUGUUCAAGUCAGGUUUGCAGUCUUAUCACUGACUGAAGUAUGGCGGUUUCUAAAGGAGUUGACACAGUUAAUCAGUCGCUCUGGCCACAGUAGACCUGAUAUAUUGAAAGAAUUAAACUCUGUGAUGAAAGUGAGACAUCAAGUUUACCAUUUUCUAUCAACAUUACAGCAGUACCACCAUUGCAAUUUGUCUGAUAUAUCAUGGCGCCGUUUUCAACAUUCCCUUAAACAUCAGGUUAAAGAUAUGCGGGAUAUCGAGUAUGUGCAUUUGUGUUAUGUUACAGACGCACUUCACAUAUGUUUCUUAUCCAAUGAGACAAAACCAGUUGCCACCAUAAUCAAAAGCAUGCUUCAACAAGCUUUGGAGUUCCGGUCAUGUUUUAAGAGUCUUAAUGACCUUUCAGAAUCAACAGUUAAUCAGCUUAAUCUGCAUUCUCUUAUAAACUUCUCUCAGGUGGAUGCAAUUAAAACGAGGUUUGAGAGUAACAUCAAAGAUCUGUAUAUUUUGCAUUCGAAGUCUUCAAAGUAUGAGGAGCUUGGUCUUUCUCGCUUCUGGGGGUAUCUGAACUACAAUGAGUAUCACUCUUUGAAAAUCACCAAGGAUGUGGGAUGCUUCUACUUCUGA